AACGUAGGACGCGAGCGUUAUCCGGAGUUACUGGGCGUAAAGGGCGGGCAGGCGGCCUGGCAAGAUGGGCGUGAAAUCUCCCGGCUCAACCGGGAGAGGCCGCUCGUGACUGCGAGGCUGGAGGGCGACAGAGGAGCGUGGAAUUCCGGGUGGAGUGGUGAAAUGCGUAGAGAUCCGGAGGAACACCAGAGGCGAAAGCGGCGCUCUGGGUCGCGCCUGACGCUGAACCGCGAAAGCCAGGGGAGCGAAC
rnacentral:rRNA from 1 species